CUACGGGCUGCUGCAGUGGGGAAUAUUGCACAAUGGAGGAAACUCUGAUGCAGCAACGCCGCGUGGAGGAUGACACUUUUCGGAGCGUAAACUCCUUUUAUAUAGGAAGAAGAUGACGGUACUAUAUGAAUAAGCGCCGGCUAACUCCGUGCCAGCAGCCGCGGGAAUACGGAGGGCGCAAGCGUUACUCGGAAUCACUGGGCGUAAAGAGCGUGUAGGCGGAUUAAAAAGUCAGAAGUGAAAUCCUAUAGCUUAACUAUAGAACUGCUUCUGAAACUCUUAAUCUAGAAUAUGGGAGAGGUAGAUGGAAUUUCUGGUGUAGGGGUAAAAUCCGCAGAGAUCAGAAGGAAUACCGAUUGCGAAGGCGAUCUACUAGAACAUUAUUGACGCUGAGACGCGAAAGCGUGGGGAGCAAACAGGAUUAGAUACCCCAGUAGUC
rnacentral:rRNA from 1 species